rnacentral:rRNA from 1 species
UACAGGGGGGGCAAGCGUUGUUCGGAAUUACUGGGCGUAAAGGGCCAGUAGGUGCCAGCCUAACUAGACACGUGAAAUCCCCGGGCUUAACCCGGGAACUGCGUGUGAUACUGGAUGGCUUGAAUUCGGGAGAGGGAUGCAGAAUUCCAGGUGUAGCGGUGAAAUGCGUAGAUAUCUGGAGGAAUACCGGUGGCGAAGGCGGCAUCCUGGACCGACAUUGACGCUGAACGGCGAAAGCUAGGGGAGCGAAACAGG